rnacentral:tRNA from 1 species
AUAAAGGUGGCAGAUAAAGUGCAUUAGAUUUAAGCUCUAAAUAUAAAGAUUAAAUUUCUUUCCUUUAUA